CCUCCAGACUCCUACGGGAGGCAGCAGUGAGGAAUAUUGGUCAAUGGCCGAGAGGCUGAACCAGCCAAGUCGCGUGAGGGAUGAAGGUACAGAGUAUCGUAAACCUCUUUUGUCAGGGAACAAAGGCGGGGACGUGUCACCGGAUGAGUGUACCUGAAGAAAAAGCAUCGGCUAACUCCGUGCCAGCAGCCGCGGUAAUACGGAGGAUGCGAGCGUUAUCCGGAUUUAUUGGGUUUAAAGGGUGCGUAGGCGGGCAUUUAAGCCGGCGGUCAAAUGUCGGGGCUCAACCCCGGCCUGCCGUCGGAACUGGGUGCCUUGAGUGGGCGAGAAGUAUGCGGAAUGCGUGGUGUAGCGGUGAAAUGCAUAGAUAUCACGCAGAACUCCGAUUGCGAAGGCAGCGUACCGGCGCCCAACUGACGCUGAAGCACGAAGGCGUGGGUAUCGAACAGGAUUAGAUACCCCCGUA
rnacentral:rRNA from 1 species